rnacentral:tmRNA from 1 species
GGGGUCGACUGGUUUUGACAGCGAGAUUAAUGAAAUGGUAAGCACGUCGUGUAAUGGCAUUGAAACACGUAAAAGGCUAGACCAAAUUUUAAACGGCGAGAAUAACUACGCUUUAGCUGCAUAAUCUGAAUUAUAGUAAGAUUGGCCUAGGCUCACAAGGUGAGCAAGCUAAAUGUCUCCAGAAAGCCUUGGUUAGUGGCGUUCUAUUUAGAGGCAUCGUAAAUAUUAACUAAGAUUGGGUAGCGCUUUGAUGCCCUUUCGAGAUUAAGAAGCUAAGUAAUAAGUAGGCUGUCUUUUGCCAGCUUAUUAUCGAAAAUCUAAGAAUAGAAUAAACGUGUAGAAAGCUCUUUGGUUACUUGUUUGGACGAGAGUUCGAUUCUCUCCGACUCCAC